CCUACGGGAGGCAGCAGUGGGGAAUAUUGCACAAUGGGGGAAACCCUGAUGCAGCGACGCCGCGUGAGUGAAGAAGUAAUUCGUUAUGUAAAGCUCUAUCAGCAGGGAAGAAAAUGACGGUACCUGAGUAAGAAGCCCCGGCUAACUACGUGCCAGCAGCCGCGGUAAUACGUAGGGGGCAAGCGUUAUCCGGAUUUACUGGGUGUAAAGGGAGCGUAGACGGCAGUGCAAGUCUGGAGUGAAAGGCGGGGGCACAACCCCCGGACUGCUCUGGAAACUGUACGGCUGGAGUGCAGGAGAGGUAAGUGGAAUUCCUAGUGUAGCGGUGAAAUGCGUAGAUAUUAGGAGGAACACCGGUGGCGAAGGCGGCCAACUGGGCUUUAACUGACGCUGAGGCUCGAAAGUGUGGGGAGCAAACAGGAUUAGAUACCCGGGUAGUC
rnacentral:rRNA from 1 species